GACGAACGCUGGCGGCGUGCCUAAUACAUGCAAGUCGAACGCAGUGGGGACGGGUGAGUAACCCGUGGGUAACCUCCCAUCAGAGGGGAUAACACUUGGAAACAGGUGCUAAACCGAUAUUGAUGGUUGGUCCCGUGGUGCAUUAGCUAGUUGGUGAGGUAACGGCUCACCAAGGCCACGAUGCAUCGCCGAGCUUAGAGGGUGAACGGCCACACUGGGAAUGAGAAAAGGCCCAGAAUCCUACGGGAGGCCACAGGAGGGAAACUUCGGCAAUGGGCGAAAGGCUGAACGAGCAACGCCGCGGGAGUGAAGAAGGUUUUCGGAUCGGAAAACUCUGUUGUUAGAGAAGCGGUAUCUAAACAGAAAGCCACGGCUAACUACGUGCCAGCCGCCGCGGUAAUAC
rnacentral:rRNA from 1 species